CCUACGGGAGGCAGCAGUGGGGAAUAUUGCACAAUGGGGGAAACCCUGAUGCAGCAACGCCGCGUGAAGGAAGACGGUUUUCGGAUUGUAAACUUCUGUUCUUAGUGAAGAAUAAUGACGGUACCUGAGGAAUAAGCCACGGCUAACUACGUGCCAGCAGCCGCGGUAAUACGUAGGUGGCAAGCGUUAUCCGGAUUUACUGGGUGUAAAGGGCGUGUAGGCGGGGACGCAAGUCAGAUGUGAAAACCACGGGCUCAACCUGUGGCCUGCAUUUGAAACUGUGUUUCUUGAGUACUGGAGAGGCAGACGGAAUUCCUAGUGUAGCGGUGAAAUGCGUAGAUAUUAGGAGGAACACCAGUGGCGAAGGCGGUCUGCUGGACAGCAACUGACGCUGAGGCGCGAAAGCGUGGGGAGCAAACAGGAUUAGAUACCCCAGUAGUC
rnacentral:rRNA from 1 species